CUACGGGCUGCACCAGUAGGGAAUAUUGGACAAUGGGCGAAAGCCUGAUCCAGCAACACCGCGUGCACGAUGACGGCCUUCGGGUUGUAAAGUGCUUUUAGAGGAGAUGAGAAAGGACAGUAUCCUCUGAAUAAGCCUCGGCGAACUACGUGCCAGCAGCCGCGGUAAAACGUAGGAGGCAAGCGUUAUCCGGAUUUAUUGGGCGUAAAGCGCGUGCAGGCGGGCUAGCAAGUUGGAUGUGAAAGCUCCCGGCUCAACUGGGAGAGGUCGUUCAAUACUGUUAGACUAGAGAAUAGGAGAGGGAGGUGGAAUUCCGGGUGUAGUGGUGAAAUGCGUAGAUAUCCGGAGGAACACCAGUGGCGAAAGCGGCCUCCUGGACUAUUUCUGACGCUAAGACGCGAAAGCUAGGGUAGCAAACGGGAUUAGAUACCCCAGUAGUC
rnacentral:rRNA from 1 species